CAGUAGCCGCGGUAAUACGAAGGGUGCAAGCGUUACUCGGAAUUACUGGGCGUAAAGCGUGCGUAGGUGGUGGUUUAAGUCCGUUGUGAAAGCCCUGGGCUCAACCUGGGAAUUGCAGUGGAUACUGGGUCACUAGAGUGUGGUAGAGGAUAGUGGAAUUUCCGGUGUAGCAGUGAAAUGCGUAGAGAUCGGAAGGAACAUCUGUGGCGAAGGCGACUAUCUGGGCCAACACUGACACUGAGGCACGAAAGCGUGGGGAGCAAACAGGAUUAGAUACCCGCGUAGUCCCGUCUCUUAUACA
rnacentral:rRNA from 1 species